rnacentral:misc_RNA from 1 species
UGAUAAAGUAAAGAAUACUAAAUCACAUUUCCAAAACUGUGAUAGUUGCUCUACCGUUAUACAAAAUGAUGAGAAGAAAACUUCAAGUGAUCCUCAUAAUCAUAAAUUGAUGAAAGAAAUAGCAAUUAGCAAGUACAUCUAUGACAUAAGGGCCUUCUCCCAAAAUCCCAGUAUGACCAAAAGGAUUCAGAUAAAGAAUGCCUAAUUUGCCACACCAUGUGUUCUAACUGUCAAUCAUUCAUCCCAUUACUCUGGGCCCGUAAAUUUUUUUUGUUAUAAAAAAAUUGAAGUGGCAAAAAAACCAGGAUCUUACUAGCAAAAAACUAUGUCGUAGGGGUGACCAGUAACGUUUGAAGCCAUAUCAUGUUGGUGGUUGCCAUGUCCCUGGCCUGAAGGUUGCACCAGAUCCUGAUGGUUCUGAAGACGCUGGCACAGGUUCUUCUUUUGCAUUCUCUGCUUCUGCUUCUCUUUUUCUGCAAAAUAUAAUAAAUGAUGUUCCACAGCAAAGUUAUUUUCAAGAAAAUAUGAGACCCAACAUCACAGAAAAUUAACACAUUACAAGAUUAAAUAUCUAGAAGGUUGAAUAGUUUAUCAAAUGCAUAGAAGUUCUCAUAAAUAAGGAAAAACCAACAAGAAGAAACCCAUAAGACUCGAUUGAUCAUCAGUUCCACCAGAAUCAAUAGGAAAACCAUUGCAUGAGCACACAGGAACAUCCACCCAAAAAUAAAAAGAGGAGCAUAGUGCCUUAAAGCAGAGAUACAAUUACUUUAAGGGAGUGAAGAUGCAGCUUAGAUUCGAGAAGCAGACACACACACAGUGAGAUCAUGGAACAAACCUCAAGCAAGUCAAGGUGCAUCAUUAAUUGGAGAAGUGGCAGGCAACACAGAAAAAGGAAAUCCACUCAAGUUUUUAGGAGUGUUCCCAUUAAGAUAUGAUGGACUUAUACUUCAACUGGUAAAACAAAGUCUAAUCUUUUUUUCACAAGCAAGAAAUCUCAAAGCAAUUGAUUCUUGGGUACAGCUAUUAUAAGCUCGACCAAAUAUGAAAACAAGUUCAAUAACCAUCAAAUCAAAUAUUUGCAUAUAAAUUUGUGCAUUUAUUAUGCAUGCUUUAAUUGACUCUGUAUAAAUCUUGAUACAAACAUUUGAUCUAAUGAUUAUUAAACUUAUUUUCAUACGAAGUCGAGCUUAUAUUAGAUGCACCCUGGAUUCUACCCAACUAAAUUUGAAUAUUAAAUGUUUGAGUUAACUCACCUCACUUUAUCCAUUGCAUCUGAUUCCUCAUCAGGCUUCUCACCUUCUGAAGCAGUGGGAAAUUGCUGUAUGAAACUUUUCAAGUCUGGACCUCCAACUUUACCAGUGCUAACAGUUUUGCGAGAACUGCCCUCUUUGGCUCUUCUUUCCUCUUCUUCUUUCUUGAGAAAAGCAACAUUUUGCCUCGUAAGUUCACGCCUAGCUUCAAGUUCAAUCAUUUCCUCAGGAGUUGGAGGCUUUUUACGCUGCCCAUUCAACCAGCAAAUCCAUUCAACUGGAAUUGAGGUUGGAUCCUCCUCCCCUUUGAAUUUUACCCAUCUCUUCUCCUUUACUGAAACAUCAGAAAAAACUAAAAUGUAAAACAAAAUAACCCAAAUAAUCUCAUUCUUAAAGAUGGCAAGUUCACAAAUGCACUUGCUUUCUCCAUAACAUGUGCAUGUGACCAAAAUACCCGGAAACUAUAUCGCUCAACAACCCAGCAAGCUCCUUAGAGAGCAAAUGGGGUAUAAUCUAAUCCAUUAAAUCAGCAAAGAGAUUGCAAUUUCAGCUCAACUUAGCUCAAUAAUUGAAUCGUAUUAGGCUCAAAUGACAAUAGCUAGCACUAACUCCAAUCAGCAACCAAAUCAGGAUAAAGCUAGAACCCAAAUACCGAUGAAUUAAUGCUAAUUGUCGAAAGGAACCCACGUAGCGAUUCUCGAAUAAGUAGACAAAUAUUCGAAACUCGCAAGUCAAAGAGACCUACUUACUGAUACCAUCGAUCUCUUCUGUUCUAGUGAAGUAGCGGUUCCCUGCCUUGUCCACACCAACAAAAUUCCGGCUGGUGAAGAACCCAGCAAUUCUAGAAAACAGCUUUGCCAUCUCCUUCUGUAAACUCUUUCGAGAAAUCAAUUGGACCCCAUAAUUGAAGAAGCAACGAGCACAGAAGAAAUGAAG